rnacentral:rRNA from 1 species
CCUACGGGGGGUAGCAGUGGGGAAUAUUGGACAAUGGGCGAAAGCCUGAUCCAGCCAUGCCGCGUGUGUGAAGAAGGCCUUCGGGUUGUAAAGCACUUUCAGUGGGGAAGAAAGCCUUGGGGCUAAUACCCUCGAGGAAGGACAUCACCCACAGAAGAAGCACCGGCUAACUCCGUGCCAGCAGCCGCGGUAAUACGGAGGGUGCGAGCGUUAAUCGGAAUUACUGGGCGUAAAGCGCGCGUAGGCGGUCUGAUAAGCCGGUUGUGAAAGCCCCGGGCUCAACCUGGGAACGGCAUCCGGAACUGUCAGGCUAGAGUGCAGGAGAGGAAGGUAGAAUUCCCGGUGUAGCGGUGAAAUGCGUAGAGAUCGGGAGGAAUACCAGUGGCGAAGGCGGCCUUCUGGACUGACACUGACGCUGAGGUGCGAAAGCGUGGGUAGCAAACAGGAUUAGAUACCCUAGUAGUC